AUGAUGUGUUGGGUUUCCAUGUUUUACUGUCAUUUACAUGAGGUGGCAGUUUUGGCUACCUCCACCCGCCUUAGUCUGUUUAUUUUUAAGUGGGAAGUGAUGAAUCGAACAAGGAGGAAGGACGACGUGCUUGUUCUUUCCGGCGUGGGUUUACUAAACUUUGUACAUAUGAAUUUCACCUCAUAUUUUCUUCCUGGCUUGAUAAGAACUGAACAAUAUAAUUUGGUUUCUCAUGUCCAGUAUUCCAGAUUGAGUAAUGCUAGAGAUAUGCGACCCUUAGCCCAGUUUACGAAAUGCUUUAUUAGGUGUAUUUUUCUUUCAUGUACAUAG
rnacentral:rRNA from 1 species